rnacentral:rRNA from 1 species
CCUACGGGGAGCAGCAGUGGGGAAUAUUGGACAAUGGGCGAAAGCCUGAUCCAGCCAUGCCGCGUGUGUGAAGAAGGCCUUCGGGUUGUAAAGCACUUUCAGUGGGGAAGAAAGCCUUGGGGCUAAUACCCUCGAGGAAGGACAUCACCCACAGAAGAAGCACCGGCUAACUCCGUGCCAGCAGCCGCGGUAAUACGGAGGGUGCGAGCGUUAAUCGGAAUUACUGGGCGUAAAGCGCGCGUAGGCGGUCUGAUAAGCCGGUUGUGAAAGCCCCGGGCUCAACCUGGGAACGGCAUCCGGAACUGUCAGGCUAGAGUGCAGUAGAGGAAGGUAGAAUUCCCGGUGUAGCGGUGAAAUGCGUAGAGAUCGGGAGGAAUACCAGUGGCGAAGGCGGCCUUCUGGACUGACACUGACGCUGAGGUGCGAAAGCGUGGGUAGCAAACAGGAUUAGAUACCCGGGUAGUC